rnacentral:lncRNA from 1 species
UGGAAAUCAACAGCUAUCUCAAAUUGAAAAAAAUAAACAUAGCAGAAUGUUUCUCUUUACUGAUAGAUUUGAGGAACAAGUUUCAAUUGGGAAGUGAGAUUGAAUCCCACUCUAACUGGAAAUAUUCUACAGGUGAAAAAAAUUACAGCUGAAAAAUAUUUUUUUUCUUCUUUCCCCCUUUUAUCUUUUUUGAGAUCUAUUGCUUUGACCUUUUGCUUUUAAGUCUGAACUUGCUCAAGGCUGAGCCAAUACUACUCCAAAACUCCAGUGGAUCAAAUGUAAAAAGACCAAUAGAGGCAUUUUCUGGAAGGAAAAUGCCUGGUUACCAUGGCUACUAGAACAUCAUUUGGAAUUACUCUGUGGAUGGGUUUCAUCACAAUGACACCAUACUCACCCUUUGUGAUAAUAAACAUGAAGCCAUGCACCAGUAUUGAGUGGUAACGAUAUCUUCUUUUCUCUCUUCCAUGAUGAUGAGGAUUAGCUGUGGCUUUCCAAGCAUUUACAGGAUAAUCUUGUUUUUAACUUCAAAAGACACAUUAAAUGUGAUAAAGGCAGAUAGCAGAGAGCUCUUAUUAGCAGUGUUAUCUCCUUUGGUGCAUUCCUGCUGUUGACGUACAUAUGCCAUCAGGGCACUUUAAUAGGUCACAGUAUUAAAGGAAGAUGGAGUCUUUUUUAAAGUUAGAAUCAGUGUUUGCUAAAUGUAAUCCAAUACACUGAGCCUGAUCUUGCCAGGUAAAUGAGAUGCUCCUGAGAUAAGUAGGGAUUCUAUGGAUACCAGCUGAGCUUGAUUUUGGCUCUCUGAAAUUGAAUGGACUGUGGGAAAACAGACAUCUUCUCUAGUUCCAAUCUGCACAUUGUAAAGAUCAGAACUAAAGACAACAACUACAUUAAAAGGAAUAAAGAAAUGAGUAGCCUCCUGUGCAGGUGUUAUGCCAUUCCAUUUUUUUUUGUAUUGAAAACAUUUUAAUAACUAAAUGUCUUCUCUGUUGAUUAUCUGUUUAUCCUAAGACUUUUAUUGACUUGCUCAAGUGAUUAUCAUUGAUUCUUCACAUGUAGAGAUCUUCUUAGUUCUUAUCUACAUGGGCAAUAUCUUAUUCCUUUAGAGAUAGUGAUGAGACACUUUGAAAGUCAUGAAAUAACAUCUCCU